rnacentral:rRNA from 1 species
UACGUAGGGGGCUAGCGUUGUCCGGAAUCAUUGGGCGUAAAGAGCGUGUAGGCUGCUCGGUAAGUCGGGUGUGAAACCCUCAGGCUCAACCUGGGGACGCCACCCGAUACUGCUGUGGCUAGAGUCCAGUAGGGGAGUGUGGAAUUCCCGGUGUAGCGGUGAAAUGCGCAGAUAUCGGGAGGAACACCAGCGGCGAAGGCGGCACUCUGGGCUGGUACUGACGCUGAGGAGCGAAAGCGUGGGUAGCAAACAGG